CCAACAAGCUUGCUUGUUGGGGUUGUAGGACACUCUAUACGGAGUUACAAAGGACGACAUUAGACGAAUCAUCUGGAAAGAUGAAUCAAAGAAGGUAAUAAUCCUGUAGUCGAAAAUGUUGUCUCUCUUGAGUGGAUCCUGAGUACGACGGAGCACGUGAAAUUCCGUCGGAAUCUGGGAGGACCAUCUCCUAAGGCUAAAUACUCUCUAGUGACCGAUAGUGAACCAGUACCGUGAGGGAAAGGUGAAAAGCACCCCGGAAGGGGAGUGAAAUAGAACCUGAAACCGUGUGCUUACAAGUAGUCAGAGCCCGUUAAUGGGUGAUGGCGUGCCUUUUGUAGAAUGAACCGGCGAGUUACGAUUUGAUGCAAGGUUAAGCAGUAAAUGUGGAGCCGUAGCGAAAGCGAGUCUGAAUAGGGCGUUUAGUAUUUGGUCGUAGACCCGAAACCAGGUGAUCUACCCUUGGUCAGGUUGAAGUUCAGGUAACACUGAAUGGAGGACCGAACCGACUUACGUUGAAAAGUGAGCGGAUGAACUGAGGGUAGCGGAGAAAUUCCAAUCGAACCUGGAGAUAGCUGGUUCUCUCCGAAAUAGCUUUAGGGCUAGCCUCAAGUGAUGAUUAUUGGAGGUAGAGCACUGUUUGGACGAGGGGCCCCUCUCGGGUUACCGAAUUCAGACAAACUCCGAAUGCCAAUUAAUUUAACUUGGGAGUCAGAACAUGGGUGAUAAGGUCCGUGUUCGAAAGGGAAACAGCCCAGACCACCAGCUAAGGUCCCAAAAUAUAUGUUAAGUGGAAAAGGAUGUGGCGUUGCCCAGACAACUAGGAUGUUGGCUUAGAAGCAGCCAUCAUUUAAAGAGUGCGUAAUAGCUCACUAGUCGAGUGACACUGCGCCGAAAAUGUACCGGGGCUAAACAUAUUACCGAAGCUGUGGAUUGUCCUUUGGACAAUGGUAGGAGAGCGUUCUAAGGGCGUUGAAGCAUGAUCGUAAGGACAUGUGGAGCGCUUAGAAGUGAGAAUGCCGGUGUGAGUAGCGAAAGACGGGUGAGAAUCCCGUCCACCGAUUGACUAAGGUUUCCAGAGGAAGGCUCGUCCGCUCUGGGUUAGUCGGGUCCUAAGCUGAGGCCGACAGGCGUAGGCGAUGGAUAACAGGUUGAUAUUCCUGUACCACCUAUAAUCGUUUUA
rnacentral:rRNA from 1 species